rnacentral:rRNA from 1 species
UCCGGUUGAUCCUGGCGGAGGCUACUGCUAUCGGGGUCCGACUAAGCCAUGCGAGUUGAGAGGGGUAAGCCCUCGACGAAUUGCUCAGUAACACGCGGACAACCUGCCCUUGGGUCCGGGAUAACCCCGGGAAACUGGGACUAAUACCGGAUAGAUCAAGGAUACUGGAAUGUUCCCUGGUCUAAAACUCCGGUGCCCAAGGAUGGGUCUGCGGCCUAUCAGGUAGUAGUGGGUGUAACGUACCUACUAGCCUACGACGGGUAAGGGUUGUGAGAGCAAGAGCCCUGAGAUGGAUUCUGAGACAUGAAUCCAGGCCCUACGGGGUGCAGCAGGCGCGAAAACUUUACAAUGCGGGAAACCGCGAUAAGGGGACCCCGAGUGCCAGCACCUAGUGCUGGCUGUCCCGCUGUCUAAAUAACAGUGGUUAGCAAGGGCCGGGCAAGACCGGUGCCAGCCGCCGCGGUAACACCGGCGGCCCAAGUGGUAGCCGUUAUUAUUGGGUUUAAAGGGUCCGUAGCCGGCCUAUUAAGUCUCUUGGGAAAUCUGGCGACUCAAUCGUCAGGCGUCCAAGAGAUACUGGUAGGCUUGGGACCGGGAGAGGUGGGAGGUACUCCAGGGGUAGGGGUGAAAUCUCGUAAUCCUUGGGGGACCACCGAUGGCGAAGGCAUCCCACCAGAACGGGUCCGACGGUGAGGGACGAAAGCUGGGGGCACGAACCGGAUUAGAUACCCGGGUAGUCCCAGCUGUAAACGAUGCUCGCUAGGUGUCAGGUGCGGUGCGACCGCAUCUGGUGCCGUAGUGAAAACUUGAAGCGAGUCACCUGGGAAGUACGGUCGCAAGGCUGAAACUUAAAGGAAUUGGCGGGGGAGCACUACAACGGGUGGAGCCUGCGGUUCAAUUGGAUUCAACGCCGGAAAGCUUACCGGGUCAGACAGCAAUAUGAAGGUCAGGCUAAAGACCUUACCGAAUUCGCUGAGAGGAGGUGCAUGGCCGUCGUCAGUUCGUAUCGUGAGACAUCCUGUUAAGUCAGGCAACGAGCGAGACCCA